rnacentral:rRNA from 1 species
UACGGAGGGGGCUAGCGUUGUUCGGAAUUACUGGGCGUAAAGCGCACGUAGGCGGCUUUGUAAGUUAGAGGUGAAAGCCCGGAGCUCAACUCCGGAAUUGCCUUUAAGACUGCAUCGCUCGAAUCAUGGAGAGGUGAGUGGAAUUCCGAGUGUAGAGGUGAAAUUCGUAGAUAUUCGGAAGAACACCAGUGGCGAAGGCGACUCACUGGACAUGUAUUGACGCUGAGGUGCGAAAGCGUAGGGAGCAAACAGG